UAAGGAAUAUUGGUCAAUGGACGCAAGUCUGAACCAGCCAUGCCGCGUGAAGGAUGAAGGUCCUCUGGAUUGUAAACUUCUUUUAUCUGGGAUGAAAACGGGAUUUUUAUCUCAAUUGACGGUACCAGAGGAAUAAGCACCGGCUAACUCCGUGCCAGCAGCCGCGGUAAUACGGAGGGUGCGAGCGUUAUCCGGAUUUACUGGGUUUAAAGGGUGCGUAGGUGGGCUUAUAAGUCAGUGGUGAAAUCUCCGAGCUUAACUUGGAAACUGCCGUUGAUACUAUAGGUCUUGAAUUAUCUGGAGNUAAGCGGAAUAUGUCAUGUAGCGGUGGAAUGCUUAGAUAUGACAUAGAACACCAAUUGCGAAGGCAGCUUACUACAUAUAAAUUGACGCUGAGGCACGAAAGCGUGGGGAUCAAACA
rnacentral:rRNA from 1 species